rnacentral:pre_miRNA from 1 species
UUAACCCAUUUAACAACUCAACCCAUCAAAUUAAAUGAGUUAUGGGUUGACCCAACCCAUUUAACAAAAUGGGUUGGGUCAACCCAUAACUCAUUUAACCCUAAACUCAUUUGAUUAUGAGU